CCCGAAGAACCGAUUUAAAAUUCAUGCAACCCAGAUGAGCUCACGAGACCAGCACCGCCAGAGGCGCUAGUGUAUUUAACUCACAUUUUGGUAAAUAUAUUUGAAAGUGUUUGCUCUACGUCAAGGCCUGUUGCUGAUUUGAGCUUCUAUUAUUUGUUGGAUUUUGACGAUUUGCGUCGGAAAUACAAGAGCUCUACUUCAACACCGGAACAAGCCAUUUUACCAGUGCAGUGCGCACAUAUUUCUAAAGCAAGUGUCGUCAUUAACCAGUACCAACAACAUCGCGUCCCGUGGACUACCAUGUGAAAGUAUUCACUCGCAGCAAGACAGUCAUCUAAGCAUCGAAAAAUGUGUGACCAAAAGUAGCAGCAAGGCUGGCAAAAAUGCCAAUCCAAACAGAAGUGCAAACCAUAGAGAUAACCCGGAAAACUCGCCGGAUAACGAAGCACCACUGCCAAAGUUUCAUCGAUCAGGUUAGUUAAGAUGGCAUCGGCCACCGCACUCGAGCCAUACUACAGUUCCGAAAUAUGCUGGAAAUAGUACUGAUCUCCGAUUCGACAACGGACAAACGUGAACAGGAAACUUUCCUUGCCGAAAAUCACAUGAGUUGACCCACAAGCAUCCGAUGGCUCGGAACCAAUGUUGAGCGUCAAUGUGUCACCAGCAAGGGGCUAUCCUAAGUCGAAACUCACACAUUCAAUUUUCGGUCGCCUGAUGUGACUCCAUACAGCGUUCAAGGAUGCAAAGUAAAAUGACUAAUGGCACAUUAGUAACUUGACAGCACAGGCCAUUCUUCAGGGUGCACCGGAUGUUACCAGUAUACACAUCUACUCCUGCGAAUGGUGGUACCGGUAGAUUAUACGACUGGCGGUCACAUUUAGAUGGUCGAUGUGAUGCGCAACAUCUAUGCUUUGGCCAUCAACCUGUACGGAAGUCAGAUGGUCAUUGUAGAGAACCAGGAUGGAAGUGCAGAAAUCGGUUGUGCGAAUUUACAGCGUUGGCCAGAAGAAGAACACCGAAGAUGACGCAGAGGAGAAAAAAGAAGAGAUGGAGAACUCGGAGUAUUGAUCGAUUUAUUUAAAUGCAGCAUUUCCCAACCUGGAUUAGAACAACUUUAUUAAAUGCUAUUAUUUCGGAAGAAAAGGCUCAAGGAAGAAAACAGUAAUUCAUUUAUGCUAUCAAAUAAUAUUUUAUAGAACUCUAACAUGUCGGAUGUCGGUACUUGAACAAAUUAGAUAAAAUAAAUAAGCAAAGGCCAAUUUAGCCAAAUAAGACAAACGUUCUAUCUAGUUUUUAUUUAUCUCUAAUUAAUUAAAUUUAGAUUGAACUUAACUUCCCUUUAAUUUAAAUUGAUAUUAUUCAAAUAAAUUUACAUCACAAUUUAAUUCAAAUGUAAUUUCAUUUAAAUUCGAUACGAAUUUUAUACCAAUUUAUUUCUAUUCUAACAUCAUUUAAAUUUAAUUCAUAUUCAGUAUAUAAGUUUAGUUUAUUAUUUUUCCCUAUUUAAUUUCAAUGAAUUAUUGGCAGUGGCUGCUUUUCUACCCGCCGCUGCUACAUCCAGGCGCUAUAGUAUAUGCGCAAAAUAGCCAGCAUGAGUUAACCGCCAGAAAUUUGUAUGGCGAAAGACAUCUAACGCGGGUUUUCUCAAAAUUAGGAACUUUUCAUGAAAAACUAUUUGGUACCGGUUAUGAAGGAUGGUGUCCGCUACUACGCCUACCAAAUAUUUUUCGAUUAAGGUUCUUUUUUUCGAAAUAUUAAACAUUAGAUGCCUUUCGCCAUACUGAUUUCCAAAAGUUAACUCCUAGUGUGCCGCUGUAAGCACGCUCAAAGCAGGCGAUUCAUUGAGUUUUAAUUUACUUCAGUUCAAUUUUAAUUUCGAUUAUCUCUGGGCAUAAAAGUAUCAUGAUAUAUACAACUGCAAAAAUGGUUACAUGACCUUGAAUCCUCGCAGUUCAUAACUGUGAAAGCUCCUUGAUGAACAAAGCUACGAGGCGGCAAUGUCUCAGUGAGGGAUGUUAUGCUAAUAAUGAAGAAGAAAAUGCUAAAUGAGAACUUCAAUCUUAUUAAUUAUAUUUAUCAUUCAGUUCAGUUCAAAUUCAAUCCCAAUUGUAAUAUCAAUUAAAUCUUAAUUAAAUUUAGACCUACAUUUUUAUAUUUUCAUUAGUCACAUUAAAUUUAUUUUUUGAAUAAGUUUCUGGAGACCCUACCAGUUAUCCUUGCGAGAAAAACGUAGGAUUGCCAAUCUGGAGAUGGCAAGUUCGAUUCUCGGUCCAGUCUAGGAUGUUUUCGGAUGGAAAAGAUUAUCGACUCUCUGGGCAUAGUGUAUCCAUUGUACUUGCCAUAUAACAUACAUACUCAUGCAAAGGCGGGUAUAGAAAGCUUUUAAUUAAUAACUGAGGAAACGUUAAUAGAAUACUUCCGUAUACUACGUUGAAAAGCAGGCCAGAAGCAUUGUUAAUUUGGUUCAAAACCAAAUUAGUUUUCAUCUAGUUUUAUUUAUUAUAAUUUACCUUCAAUUUUAUUUUAAGUCAAUUUGAAUUUAUUUUCAAAGUUUAAUUGAAAUUCAAUUUGAAAAAAUCCUAAUAUGAAAUAAAUUCCAAAUUACUUUGAAUUCUUCUUCUUAUUGGCAUUACAUCCCCACACUGGGACAGAGCCGCCUUGCAGCUUAGUGUUCAUUAAGCACUUCCACAGCAAACUGCGAGGUUUCUAAGCCAGGUUACCAUUUUUGGAUCCGUAAUUCAUGAGGCUAGCACGAUGAUACUUUUAUGCCCAGGGAAGUCUUGUUAUUCUUGUUCUUCUUGUUAUACUCAACGUAUCCCCGGGCCGUGGCCAAUCUACGUUGUAUGACACUAGGCAAUACGUUUACACUGCUGGCUUAAAUUUUCAACGUGACGAUUAAUAUAUAGAACUCAUGAAAUCAAUGUGAACUCGACUCGUGGAAAACUUAUUCCAGGUUAUCCGAGGCUUGUGAUAGACCCUUUAUCACAACGGACCUUUCCAUCCACUGACUGGUAGGCUCGAGCGUCCCGUCCUCUGCUUCAGACCCAUAAGGGGUCCGAAACAGUUCAGUUUCAGGGUAGUAAACUUGCGAGAGAAUAAAAGAUAGAGGAGGAGAAUGUGGAGCGGCUUGUUAACCGCUUCUGGCUCUAGCGACUGCUAUGGAACCUAUUUAUUAAAGAAUUGUUUGUAGAGAUAGAAACGGUUUUGUUUAUGUACAUGAUAGUUGUUCAGACAGUUCGGGAUCGCAACGAUAGAGUUCGUUAUAGCUUAGAAACUUUUCAGAUGAUUUAUACUUAUGGUAGAAGGGAAAUGAUUGAAAUCCGUUUUCUGAUGAUUGUCGAAAAAGCUAUAUGUAGAUUGAUAUGAUAUAGGUAUUUAAAAUAUCACGUAAGAAAGGUCAAAAAAGCACUUUAGGUGAAUAGAUCGCAUUUUUUCUAUCAUUUUGCAUGUUUUUGCAUUAAUUACUAUGCAUUGCCAACAUUUUUGAAGAAAAAACUAUGAUUUUGAAUUAUUAAGAAAAAUAUUUUGAGCUAAAAAACUCGAGUCGAGUCAAGUACGAGACACUGCAGACGACCUUACUGUUGAGGUCGAAAUACGUGUCUUGUAUGUAUGUAACUUGACCUACAAUCAAGUGGUGGAAUUAAAUGGGAUGGUACAAACUAGAAAUACUACAAUAAGAGAUCGGCGAAGACGCCAUCUUGUUUCCAAUCGAACCGUCAAAAGCGGUUCCAAUUCGACUUGUUUACUUUUUGCAUCCAUAAGAAGCAGGCAAAAAGUUCAAGUGAUGCCGGUAUUAUUUUCACGAUUUCAUGCAUUUUCAUACGUUGCCAUUUCGACAGUUUUUCACUCCGCCGGUCUCUGGUUAUAGGGUGGCUAGUACAAACUAGAGGCCUGAAUAAGAGAAACGCGGAUAGAAAAUAUGACUCUGCCAACACUGCAUUCAAUCUUCUUCAUCAAAGAGCAACACAUGAAAAGGAAGAAAUGGUUUAUGAAGAUAAAAUCUCACAAUCCGCUAUUUAACCCGUUUCGGUCUGACC